AUUGAACGCUGGCGGCAGGCCUAACACAUGCAAGUCGAACGGUAACAGGAAGCAGCUUGCUGCUUCGCUGACGAGUGGCGGACGGGUGAGUAAUGUCUGGGAAGCUGCCUGAUGGAGGGGGAUAACUACUGGAAACGGUAGCUAAUACCGCAUAAUGUCGCAAGACCAAAGAGGGGGACCUUCGGGCCUCUUGCCAUCGGAUGUUCCCAGAUGGGAUUAGCUUGUUGGUGGGGUAACGGCUCACCAAGGCGACGAUCCCUAGCUGGUCUGAGAGGAUGACCAGCCACACUGGAACUGAGACACGGUCCAGACUCCUACGGGAGGCAGCAGUGGGGAAUAUUGCACAAUGGGCGCAAGCCUGAUGCAGCCAUGCCGCGUGUAUGAAGAAGGCCUUCGGGUUGUAAAGUACUUUCAGCGGGGAGGAAGGGAGUAAAGUUAAUACCUUUGCUCAUUGACGUUACCCGCAGAAGAAGCACCGGCUAACUCCGUG
rnacentral:rRNA from 1 species